UUUGUACUCCCUCCAUCUAGAACUACUUAUCAUCAAAAUUGAUAAAAGGAGAUGUAUCUAGACAUAUUUUUUCUAGAUACAUCUCUUUUUAUCCAUUUUGAUGAAAAGUAUUUUUGGACAGAGGGAGUAAUAA
rfam:Triticum aestivum genome assembly, contig: Triticum_aestivum_CS42_TGACv1_scaffold_146387_2BS